CACCAUGUUGCUCCCCCUGUAAGAACAAUUCGCAGUGUAUAGUCAAUGGAUCAGGGUACAUAUGUACAUGUAUCAAAGGAUUUACCGGAGAUGACUAUAUAGAUUACAAAUGCGAUGCUGAAAAUUAUCUUAAUCAAACCUGUUUUCUAGAACAAGAUGUUUGGAGUGAUGAUACAGACUGGAUUCGUUGGCGGGAUAAUACGCCAAUGCCUUUUACCGGGCCAUCAAGGGCUGCAGAGGGCUCGUUUUACUCCUAUGUUCAAAGCAGAGGUAUUCCGACUUUAUCAAAAGC